rnacentral:rRNA from 1 species
GCCUUUCGAGCCGCCCAAACCAAAUAACUAGUUGGGUGGGGUAAAGGGCCACCCAGGGCUUUCAUUCUGUAGCGGGGUCCUGAAAGGAAUGAAUCCGCCACACUGGGGACUUGAAACACGGCCCAGAACUCCCUACGGGAGGGCAGCAGUGGGGAAUUUUUGGACAAUGGGGCGCAAGCCUGAUCCAGCCAUGCCGCGUGAGUGAAGAAGGCCUUCGGGUUGUAAAGCUCUUUCAGCCGGAAAGAAAUCGUGCAGAUUAAUACUUUGCAUGGAUGACGGUACCGGCAGAAGAAGCACCGGCUAACUACGUGCCAGCAGCCGCGGUAAUACGUAGGGUGCGAGCGUUAAUCGGAAUUACUGGGCGUAAAGGGUGCGCAGGCGGUUUUGUAAGCCAGAUGUGAAAUCCCCGGGCUUAACCUGGGAACUGCAUUUGAGACUGCAAGGCUAGAGUACGGCAGAGGGGGGGUAAAAUUCCACGUGUAGCAGUGAAAUGCGUAGAGAUGGGGGAGGAAUACCGAUGGCGAAAGGCAGCCCCUGGGUCGAUACUGACGCUCA